rnacentral:rRNA from 1 species
UACGGAGGAUGCGAGCGUUAUCCGGAUUUAUUGGGUUUAAAGGGUGCGUAGGCGGAAUAUCAAGUCAGCGGUAAAAAUUCGGGGCCCAACCCCGUCGUGCCGUUGAAACUGAUGUUCUUGAGUGGGCGAGAAGUAUGCGGAAUGCGUGGUGUAGCGGUGAAAUGCAUAGAUAUCACGCAGAACUCCGAUUGCGAAGGCAGCAUACCGGCGCCCAACUGACGCUGAAGCACGAAAGCGUGGGUAUCGAACAGG